CAGCCACAUCAUGUUGAAAUACCAGUUCCCAUAUGAUCACUGAAGUUAAGCAACAUCGAGCCUGGUCAGUACCGACAUGGGUAACUGCUUGGGAAUACCAGAUGCUGUAA